rnacentral:misc_RNA from 1 species
GAUGAAGAACGUAGUGAAAUGCGAUACGUAAUGUGAAUUGCAGAAUUCAGUGAAUCAUCGAGUCUUUGAACGCACAUUGCGCCCCCUGGUAUUCCGGGGGGCAUGCCUGUCCGAGCGUCAUUGCUGCCCUCAAGCCCGGCUUGUGUGUUGGGUCUCGUCCCCCUUCCCGGGGGGACGGGCCCGAAAGGCAGCGGCGGCACCGCGUCCGGUCCUCGAGCGUAUGGGGCUUUGUCACCCGCUCUGUAGGCCCGGCCGGCGCUUGCCGAUCAACCAAAACUUUUUUCCAGGUUGACCUCGGAUCAGGUAGGGAUACCCGCUGAACUUAAGCAUAUCAAUAAGCGGAGGA